UACGUAGGUGGCGAGCGUUGUCCGGAUUUAUUGGGCGUAAAGGGCGCGCAGGUGGUGCGGUAAGGCUGCCGUGAAAUCUCCCGGCUCAACUGGGAGGGUGCGGUGGCGACUGCCGGACUGGAGGCACUCAGAGGCCGGUGGAAUUCCCGGUGUAGUGGUGAAAUGCAUUGAGAUCGGAAAGAACACCAACGGCGAAAGCACUCUGCUGGGCCGACACUGACACUGAGAGACGAAAGCUAGGGGAGCAAAUGGG
rnacentral:rRNA from 1 species